AAAAUGCAGAUUAACCAGAGUCAGCGAUGGAAAAACUAAACAAUCUCAUUGUUCUCUUAUGAUAAGAUAGCGCCGUUGGCGGUAAAAGCAGUUUGUUUUGGCCGCUGAAGUGUUUCCCGGGAGUUUUCAGAAAGACACACAGAGGACAAGCUGACGUAAACACCAAUAGUUGGCAGCAGGCCAAUCCAAAUGCAGCCGAGGAAGGAAUUCCACUGCAGACGCGGCACACAACAGACUGACGCCAUGCCGGCUCUGCAAAUAGACCAAAAUGGAUGAAGAACAAGCCUCGAACCGUGUGCCUGUGCGCUACACAGGUCAUAUACUCUUGCACUAUGACGUACCAGUCAGGAAGAUCUGGAGAAGUGAGAAAUGAAGGCGAUGAAAGGCUGCUAGAGCAUUAUACGUGAUGCAAUUUUUUUUGUUAUCUCAGAAGGAUAUAUCACUACUAUCACAGUAACGUACAGAGUUUAUUAGUAUUAAAUAAUCUAAUGUGACAAUUCCUGAACACUGUGAAUGACUACUGUAUCAACUGUUGUUUUUAAAUUAAAGAAACAUGUUGUUGCAUUGACUCGUAUCUUGUACUUCAAGCACGAUUCCUUCUUGUGAUCCUGAAGAAAACAAGAAAUUUAAUGCAGUUUAGCUGUUUGAAACGUUUUCAGGGCUAUACAAAACAUAUUGGUGAAUAAAUGAAAACGGAAGAGUUUAUAUUAGGUUACUUGUCGUUCACACAGAACGCAUUUUUGCGUUCCUCUGCUGCACUUUUUCAUAGAUUGUCUGUGUGUUUGACUGUUUGCGUCGGCGUUUGUCGUCUUUUUCGUGGCUACAGAAUUGUCUAAAACAAUCUAUAGGAUUUUCUGCACGCUGUUUACAAACUGAACUACUGAAUCAGUGUUUGCACACGGGUGAUUCAUUUGAGUCGAUUCUCUUCAGUGAAUCGAUCGAGCUAGGUAGCGGUGUUCUGAAUCGGUUCAUGAUUCGAACUGAUCACUCGCGCACUGAAUCGUUUGAGAGGUUUUUCACUUCGUAAAAUAGCCCUACAGAAUACUUAAAAAAGACCAGGUGACGGGGG
ensembl:lncRNA